rnacentral:tmRNA from 1 species
AGAUCCAGAGGCUUUACAAACACUGUCUCCACUGCAGCUGCCCCAAUUGCCAAAAUAACUGCAAACCAGGCCAGACACGCUCCAAAGCAUUUACUAUUCAAAAACAGCCUAUUUGGAGUCAUAACUAGCAAACACCUAUGUAUAGAAAUUAUCAUCAAUAUAAAUACAAUACAAAAGUCCAAGGUGCUUACAUAAAGGGUGAAUAAUACACACAAUAGCAUAGAUCCUGGCAUGGUGUACAGGAGAUAAUGCCCACAUCCCCACCGACUACACGCAACACAACCUCAGGCAAAACCAGAUCAGGGUGCAAACGUAGGUGCUUCAACAAACCAGCAGCCAUGCCUCCUAAAAGACGCCGCGCUCCAAAAAGACCAGCCCCUCCUCCACCACCGGGAUGCCAAGGUGAUGAGGAGUCCAGCCAGGGAACUCAAACGCCAAACCCCCCAUCACCACCAGUGCCCCCUUCAUCACCAACACUUCCCUCAUCCCCCGUCCCUCCUUCAUCACCAGUACAUGAGCCACCAUCUCCUUCCCCCCCACCAGCCCCACCAUCACCAGAUGUUGAUGUUGAAGGUUUAGAUGUAGGAGAGACAGACGAUCCCGGUCCCCCUCCACCAAAAAGAUACUCCAGGUAUCAAAAACCGCAUAAUCCAUCUGAUCCAUUGCCUAAAAAAUAUCAGGGAAUGCGAAGACACCUGCAGGUGACAGCACCCAGGUUAUUUGAUCCCGAGGGUCACCCCCCAACACAUUUUAAGUCAGCUGUUAUGUUUAGUAGCACACAUCCCUACACUUUGAAUAAACUUCACAAGUGUAUCCAAAGCAAACAUGUACUCUCAACACCAGUUAGCUGUUUACCCUUGGUACCAGGCACAACACAACAGUGUGUAACAUACUAUUUACUUUCAUUUGUUGAAGACAAGAAACAGGCCAAAAAACUAAAAAGGGUUGUCUUGGCCUACUGUGAAAAAUACCACAGCAGCGUAGAAGGUACUAUAGUCAAGGCAAAGCCUUAUUUUCCCUUACCAGAGCCCCCUACAGAGCCCCCUACAGACCCCGAGCAGCCAUCCACAAGUACACAAGCUUCUGGCACACAACAUGGUCCCACAGCAUCUCUGGAUGCCGGUGCAGAGCAAGGUGCCACAGGAUCACCUGGAUCUAGUCCAGGACAACAGGGACAAGGGUCUCAGACAAAGGGUGGGCGCGCCGACCCAGCUUUCUUGUACAAAGUGGUUGAUGCUGUUAUGGACCCAGAAACGCUGGUGAAAGUAAAAGAUGCUGAAGAUCAGUUGGGUGCACGAGUGGGUUACAUCGAACUGGAUCUCAACAGCGGUAAGAUCCUUGAGAGUUUUCGCCCCGAAGAACGUUUUCCAAUGAUGAGCACUUUUAAAGUUCUGCUAUGUGGCGCGGUAUUAUCCCGUAUUGACGCCGGGCAAGAGCAACUCGGUCGCCGCAUACACUAUUCUCAGAAUGACUUGGUUGAGUACUCACCAGUCACAGAAAAGCAUCUUACGGAUGGCAUGACAGUAAGAGAAUUAUGCAGUGCUGCCAUAACCAUGAGUGAUAACACUGCGGCCAACUUACUUCUGACAACGAUCGGAGGACCGAAGGAGCUAACCGCUUUUUUGCACAACAUGGGGGAUCAUGUAACUCGCCUUGAUCGUUGGGAACCGGAGCUGAAUGAAGCCAUACCAAACGACGAGCGUGACACCACGAUGCCUGUAGCAAUGGCAACAACGUUGCGCAAACUAUUAACUGGCGAACUACUUACUCUAGCUUCCCGGCAACAAUUAAUAGACUGGAUGGAGGCGGAUAAAGUUGCAGGACCACUUCUGCGCUCGGCCCUUCCGGCUGGCUGGUUUAUUGCUGAUAAAUCUGGAGCCGGUGAGCGUGGGUCUCGCGGUAUCAUUGCAGCACUGGGGCCAGAUGGUAAGCCCUCCCGUAUCGUAGUUAUCUACACGACGGGGAGUCAGGCAACUAUGGAUGAACGAAAUAGACAGAUCGCUGAGAUAGGUGCCUCACUGAUUAAGCAUUGGUAACCGGUUAGUAAUGAGUUUAAACGGGGGAGGCUAACUGAAACACGGAAGGAGACAAUACCGGAAGGAACCCGCGCUAUGACGGCAAUAAAAAGACAGAAUAAAACGCACGGGUGUUGGGUCGUUUGUUCAUAAACGCGGGGUUCGGUCCCAGGGCUGGCACUCUGUCGAUACCCCACCGAGACCCCAUUGGGGCCAAUACGCCCGCGUUUCUUCCUUUUCCCCACCCCACCCCCCAAGUUCGGGUGAAGGCCCAGGGCUCGCAGCCAACGUCGGGGCGGCAGGCCCUGCCAUAGCAGAUCCACUAGUAACGGCCGCCAGUGUGCUGGAAUUCAGGGACAUAAAUCACAUUCCCAGAAUAUAUCCUGGGCAACACCUUCGCCAGGGCAUGCAACAAGAAUGUAAAGCCAGUGGUCUGGAAUUUUCUCUGUGCCAAAAAUAUGUCUUCUAAUGGAAAAUGGUUCAUUAAAUUGUUUUCAAUAAAAAAGUGUGUCAUGCAAUCGUUCAAUAAUUCAUGAUCCUCCGUCCAACUGCCGGGACAUAGUACCUCCUCACACACAUAUCUGCCAACAUCAAAAAAUCCAACAAUUCUUCCACUGUUGAUGACAUCUACAAACAACGAGGUGAAAAGUUUGGACAGGUCUCUUUUCCAGUUCUUGAGGGCAGGGCCAUAAUCCGCGCGGUAAACGCUGUCAUAGUGCCUUCUAAACUCCUGGGUCAAUGUUAUUAUUUUAGAGACAUCAACUAACACAGCAGAAUCAACACAAUCCAGUUCUUCCACUUUAGAAACAGUCUUCAAGAAGGCUGUAAUCAGGGUUGCCCAAUAAGUCCCGCUUUUCUUAUGACUCAUGUUUGAUGAUGUAGAGAAUCUGUGGAAUCUGACUAACUCUUCCAACUAGAUGUUUAGAUAUGUGCCACUUAAAAUAGCUGCGCACGCACAACACACCACUUUUUAGUACCUGAAACUAAUUACAUCAUCUGGAAUAAAGUCUUUUGUAUUCCACCCGAACCCAAGCUCCCCGGCACCCCACAACAUUCCACCUUCAACAAACAGCCUACAAUCUACAGGCUACACCUGCGACCUCCAUGGCCAGUCAAGAAUUCCAAGGAUUUCUUGACAGCUCCCUGUUAAAUGAAGAAGACUGCAGACAGAUGAUCUAUCGCAGCGAAAGAGAACACGAUGCGCGCAUGGUGGGCGUCAACGUGGACCAGCACUUUACUUCCCAAUACAGGAAAGUCCUAACCACGUGGAUGUUUUGUGUGUGCAAAGACCUCCGUCAGGAUAACAACGUCUUUCCCCUGGCGGUCGCCUUACUGGAUGAACUAUUCCUUAGCACACGGAUAGAUCGGGAAAAUUACCAGUCCACCGCAGCAGUGGCCCUCCAUAUCGCAGGAAAGGUCAGGGCCUACAUGCCCAUCAAGGCCACCCAGUUGGCAUACCUUUGUGGAGGAGCAACAACAGCUGACAAACUAUUGACUCUGGAAGUCAAAAGUCUGGAUACCCUCUCGUGGGUAGCUGACAGGUGCCUGAGUACAGAUCUCAUCUGUUACAUCCUGCAUAUCAUGCAUGCCCCCCGGGAAGACUACCUGAACAUUUAUAACCUCUGUCACCCAAAAAUCUUCUGCGCCCUAUGCGAUGGCAGGUCAGCCAUGAAACGCCCAGUGCUAAUCACACUGGCCUGUAUGCACUUAACUAUGAACCAAAAGUAUGAUUACUAUGAAAACAGGAUAGAUGGUGUGUGCAAAAGCCUCUAUAUAACCAAGGAAGAGCUACACCAGUGUUGUGAUUUAGUAGAUAUUGCCAUUGUCUCUUUCGAUGAAAACUAUUUCAAAAUAAAUGCCUAGAUUUGCCCUUUC